rnacentral:rRNA from 1 species
UACGUAGGGUGCGAGCGUUGUCCGGAAUUAUUGGGCGUAAAGAGCUUGUAGGCGGUUUGUCGCGUCUGCCGUGAAAUUUCGAGGCUCAACCUCGAACUUGCGGUGGGUACGGGCAGACUAGAGUGUGGUAGGGGAGACUGGAAUUCCUGGUGUAGCGGUGAAAUGCGCAGAUAUCAGGAGGAACACCGGUGGCGAAGGCGGGUCUCUGGGCCGUAACUGACGCUGAGGAGCGAAAGCAUGGGGAGCGAACAGG